rnacentral:rRNA from 1 species
CCUACGGGGGGCAGCAGUGAGGGAUAUUGCACAAUGGGGGAAACCCUGAUGCAGCAACGCCGCGUGGGUGAAGAAGGCUUUCGAGUCGUAAAACCCUUUUCUAGGGGAAGAGGAAGGACAGUACCCUAGGAACAAGUCUCGGCUAACUACGUGCCAGCAGCCGCGGUAAGACGUAGGAGGCGAGCGUUAUCCGGAUUCAUUGGGCGUAAAGGGCAAGUAGGCGGUUGUCAAAGUUGGGCGUGACAUCUCCUGGCUCAACUAGGAGAGGUCGUUCAAAACUAGGCAACUAGAGGGCAGAAGAGGAAAGCGGAACUCCUGAUGUAGCGGUGGAAUGCUUAGAUAUCAGGAAGAACACCAGUGGCGAAGGCGGCUUUCUGGUCUGCACCUGACGCUGAGAGGCGAAGGCCAGGGUAGCGAACGGGCUUAGAUACCCCAGUAGUC